UAUUUUCUUGUCUAAAUUCAUUUUCUGAGCCUAUAUUUUUGCCCAAACUUUCUAUCUUUUAGACAUGCCUUCGAGCUAAAUCGAGUGACCCAAUCUAUGAGCAAAUCUACUUUUACGGAAUCCAAAUUCAAGAAUUGAAAUAAAUUUUUUUUUAUCAAUUUUAAUUAAAGGUGUGAAUUAAAAAAGAAAGAAAGUAAAAACAUCAAACUAAACCUAAUUUUCAUUGGACUAUCUUUUCAAUGGGACAUCUUUAGCUAGCAUUUGCAAUUUUGAAAAAGGAAAUGG
rnacentral:lncRNA from 1 species